rnacentral:misc_RNA from 1 species
GAUGAAGAACGUAGCGAAAUGCGAAAAGUAAUGUGAAUUGCAGAAUUCAGUGAACCAUCGAAUCUUUGAACGCACAUUGCGCCCGCUGGAACUCCGGCGGGCACGCCUGUCCGAGCGUCAUUUCAACCCUCAGGCCCCCCUUCGCGGGCGGGCCUGGUGUUGGGGCCCGGCCGCUACCCUGCGGCCGUCCCCUAAAUUCAGUGGCGGCCUCGCCGUGAUCCCUUGCGUAGUAAUGCACCUCGCACCGGAGAGCGCCGUGGCCACGCCGUAAAACCCCCAAUUUUCAAUGGUUGACCUCGGAUCAGGUGGGAAUACCCGCUGAACUUAAGCAUAUCAAUAAGCGGAGA